ACGCGGCGGCCAGGCCUUAUAAGCGGGAGCGCGCACCAGCGUGGACGCCAGAGAUCCCGCAGGCGGGUACCGGAAGAGACCGCGCGCUUGGCGCCCGGGCCUCAGCUAUGGCUCACAGGCCGAAGAGGACUUUCCGGCAGCGCCGAGCCCACUCCAGUGAUAGCGAUGACGCCGAGGAGCGGUCUGCUGAACCCGAGGCUCCGGGGGAGCAGGCGGCCCCGGGCCCUACAGAGGAAGGGCCGCCCAGUGGCGGGGGCCGCGCGGAGGUGACGGACUGGCGUGCUCGGGCCCGGGGCCCUCGCGGUCGUGGCCGAGUGUGGGCAAGUUCCCGGCGCGCCGCGAGGGCGGCUCCGCGCGCUGAAGGCUCCGACGUCCCAGAAUCCAGAAUGGUUGCUCUUUCAACGGAUGAAGAGAGUGAAACACAUCAUUCCCCAGAAAGUAAAGAUGAUCACAGUUCAUCAUCCAACAGCUCUAGCUCUCUGGAAGAGGAAUUUUCAUCAAUAGUAAAUAUCCCUGAGGCAGCUUUUAUUCAGGCAGCCCGCAGGAAACGUGAAUUGGCCAGGACCCAAGAUGACUAUAUUUCUUUGGAUGUAAAACAUACCUCUGUCAUCACUGGGAUGAAGAAAAACAGUGAUGAAGAUCCUGAGAGUGAGCCUGAUGACCAUGAAAAGAGAAUACCGUUUACCCCAAAGCCUCAAACACUUAGACAAAGGAUGGCUGAUGAAACAACACCUAGAAAUGAAGAAACAAGUGAAGAAAGUCAGGAAGAUGAAACUCAAGAUAUUUGGGAACGGCAGCAGAUGAGGAAAGCAGUUAAAAUCACAAAGGGACAAGACCUAGAUCUUUCCUACAGCAGUGAAUCUCAGACAGUGAAGAAGGUUGAUGCUUCCACUUCAUUUCCACCAGUAAAUUUAGAAAUUAUAAAGAAGCAAUUAAAUACUAGAAAACUGAAGAAGAGAGAACACUUCCAAACCCAUUUUAUGAGAUUAACACUGCUACAGGAUACUCACCGCUCACACCUGAGGGAAUAUGAAAAAUACAUACAAGAUGUCAAGAGUUCGAAGAGUACCAUCCAGAAACUAGAGAAUUCAUCAAAUCAAGCUCUAAAUUUUAAAUUCUAUAAAAGCAUGAAAAUUUAUGUGGAAAAUUUAAUUGACUGUCUUAAUGAAAAGAUUAUCAGCAUCCAAGAAAUAGAGUCAUCCAUGCAUGCACUCCUUUUAAAACAAGCCAUGACCUGUAUGAAACGCAGGCAAGAUGAAUUAAAACAUGAAUCAACGUAUUUACAACAAUUAUCACGCAAAGCUGAGACAUCAACAAAUGGAAGUUUGGCUGUAGGUGAAAAAACUCCAUGGAUUUUGGAAGAGAUUGAAUCUCGAAGGUCACAAAGAAGACAAGCAAGGGCACUUUCUGGGAAUUGUGAUCAUCAGGAAGGGACAUCUAGUGAUGAUGAACUGUCUUCAGCAGACAUGAUUGACUUCCAAAAAACCCAAGGUGAAAUUUUACGGGAUCACAAGAAUAUUUUUGAAGAUGUACAUGAUGAUUUUUGUAAUAUCCAAAAUAUUUUGUUGAAAUUUCAACAAUGGCGAGAAAAGUUUCCUGAUUCUUAUUAUGAAGCUUUCAUUAGUUUAUGCAUACCGAAGCUUUUAAAUCCCCUAAUCCGACUUCAGUUGAUUGAUUGGAAUCCUCUUAAGUUUGAUGCUGUAGGCUUAAAACAGAUGCCAUGGUUCACAUCUAUAGAAGAAUAUAUGGCUAGCAGUAUGGAAGAUUCAAAGAAGGAAGAUGGUUCUGAUAAGAAAAUCUUGUCUGCUAUCAUCAAUAAAACAGUUAUUCCUCGAAUUACAGACUUUGUAGAAUUCAUUUGGGAUCCCUUGUCGACCUCACAGACAACAAGUUUAAUAACACACUGCACAGUGAUUCUUGAAGAACUUUCCACUUGUGGAAAUGAAGUUAGUAAAGGCAAACAGUGAGAGAGCACAAGCAGGGCAGGGACAGAGAGCAGGGGCAAACAGAGGAUCCGAAGCGAGCUCUGUGCUGACACCAGGGAGCCCUAUGUGGGGCUUGAACUGACAAACUGUGAGAUCACAACCUGAGCUAAAGUCAGACACUAACCGACUGAGCCACCAGGUAACCCCAGUGCUUUACCAUUUAUUAAACACUUUCACAUUAUCUCACUUGAUGUUCACAACCUUGUAAAAUGUGUUGACUUUAACUGCAUUUUACAGAUGGAAGAAGGUGGGGCCCAGAGGGCCAUGUCACUUGUAAAAGGUUACUUGGGUAUUAAGCAAUAGGUCUGACACUUUGCAACUUAUAAUAACUAAAAUCUUUCAAAAGUGUUACAGAUGGACUCAUGAAGUUUUUAGACCAGUAAUUUUUACUCUGGAAGCCCUCUUACUAUGAAUAUUGAAAAUGGGUUCUUUGUGUGAUUAGUAAGACACUUGACUAUAUCAGGAUUUUUCAGUUUCAGCAGCCUUGGCACUUGGAGCAGAUAAUUAUUUGUUGUGGGAAGUUGUCCUGUGCAUUGUAGCAUGCUAGCAGCUUUCCUGGCCUCUACCCACUAGAUGACAGUAGUGCUCCCCAGUCUUGACAACCAAAAAUAUCUCCAGACAUCGUAAGAUAUUCCCUGGGCAUGGCACAGUCACUCCUAGUUAAGAAUCACUGAACUACAUAAUGUUUCUGGCUACUAAGACGGUUGGCCUUGCCAGUGAGAUCACUGUAUUUUUUUCAGUGAUGUGUAAGAAAUUGAAGAGAUGAAAAAGGUUCCAGAAGAGUGGAAUCAUACAGCAUAGUUCCUGUUUUCGAAGUAAGAACCAGAUGAUUCUGUAAACUAAUCCCUGGACUUACUUAAAUCCAUUGUUUUGAGAGUGAAGAAGGCAAUAGAAGAUGAUGUUUUUAUUCCUCUAUAUCCAAAGAGCACUAUAGAAAACAAAACAUCACCACAUUCAAAGUUCCAAGAAAGAC